GACGGAGGGGGCUAGCGUUGUUCGGAAUUACUGGGCGUAAAGGGCGCGUAGGCGGCCUGUUAAGUCGAACGUGAAAUCCCUGGGCUCAACCCAGGAACUGCGUCCGAUACUGGCAGGCUUGAAUUCGGGAGAGGGAUGCGGAAUUCCAGGUGUAGCGGUGAAAUGCGUAGAUAUCUGGAGGAACACCGGUGGCGAAGGCGGCAUCCUGGACCGAUAUUGACGCUGAGGCGCGAAAGCCAGGGGAGCAAACGGG
rnacentral:rRNA from 1 species